CAGCAGCCACGGGAAAACGGAGGGAGCUAGCGUUGUUCGGAAUUACUGGGCGUAAAGCGCGCGUAGGCGGUUACUCAAGUCAGAGGUGAAAGCCCGGGGCUCAACCCCGGAACUGCCUUUGAAACUAGGUGACUAGAAUCUUGGAGAGGUCAGUGGAAUUCCGAGUGUAGAGGUGAAAUUCGUAGAUAUUCGGAAGAACACCAGUGGCGAAGGCGACUGACUGGACAAGUAUUGACGCUGAGGUGCGAAAGCGUGGGGAGCAAACAGGAUUAGAUACCCGAGUAGUCCCUGUCUCUUAUAC
rnacentral:rRNA from 1 species